UACGAAGGGGGCUAGCGUUGUUCGGAAUUACUGGGCGUAAAGCGCACGUAGGCGGGUCUGUAAGUUGGAGGUGAAAUCCCGGGGCUUAACCCCGGAACUGCCUUCAAGACUGCGGAUCUGGAGGUCAGGAGAGGCGAGCGGAAUACCGAGUGUAGAGGUGAAAUUCGUAGAUAUUCGGUGGAACACCAGUGGCGAAGGCGGCUCGCUGGACUGAUACUGGCGCUGAGGUGCGAAAGCGUGGGGAGCAAACAGG
rnacentral:rRNA from 1 species